rnacentral:hammerhead_ribozyme from 1 species
AUCCAGCUGACGAGUCCCAAACAGUACGAAACGUGUGUCCUGGAU